UAUAAAGUGCCUGAAGCUAAAGGAUAAUUUUGAUAGAAUUAAUUGUGUGCUUUUAAGCGCCUUUAUAA
rnacentral:tRNA from 1 species